GCUCGUCCGGAUGAACUCAAUUUUGGGUCGAUUUAACUCAAAUUUAUAACUUCUUCUGAGACGUCAAACGCUGAGUAAACGAGAUUUAUGAAUUUGAGUAGCUGCCACUCAAAAUAAUAUAAAAAUGCUGAAUUGUAAAACUGAGUUUACCGAGAAAAAAUGGCGAAGUCCAAAUCGCAUUCCAAACGCUUUAUGGGUGACAAUCUUUAGUGGAAAAAUAUAGUAAUUAAAAGUUCAGCUUCAGUUCAAUUAAUUAUAUAUGCGUCUACUUCAAUGGCUCUACAUUCUAACUGGAAAUUGGCUUGCAUUUCAACUUUGUGUUCUAUUAGCAUAUCCACAGUUAUUUAUUUGCUAAGAUUACUAGAAGCAGUCAUCUCUGCUUAUGGGAGUUAUUUUGGAACUUUUCGUUAGGCGACUUAGUGAAAUUUAAAGGAAAUUUCUGGACUGGACGAAUUAAUCGGGAAACGUCGGCUAAGACUGGCGCAGGCUUGCAAGAUGUUCGACGUGAAUCCGUGACAAUGCAGGAAUGGAACCUGAAAUAUCAUCCUGCAGGUGCAUCCUGGAAAAGUCUGAAAACUUCUUGCCGAGUUUCAUUCGAAUUCAUUAUAAUUUGUAAUUUA